rnacentral:rRNA from 1 species
CAGUCGCCGCGGUAAUACGUAGGUCCCGAGCGUUGUCCGGAUUUAUUGGGCGUAAAGGGAGCGCAGGCGGUUUCUUAAGUCUGAUGUGAAAGCCCCCGGCUCAACCGGGGAGGGUCAUUGGAAACUGGGAAACUUGAGUGCAGAAGAGGAGAGUGGAAUUCCACGUGUAGCGGUGAAAUGCGUAGAGAUGUGGAGGAACACCAGUGGCGAAGGCGACUCUCUGGUCUGUAACUGACGCUGAGGAGCGAAAGCGUGGGGAGCGAACAGGAUUAGAUACCCCUGUAGUCCCUGUCUCUUAUAA